UACGGGAGGCAGCAGUGGGGAAUAUUGCACAAUGGGCGCAAGCCUGAUGCAGCGACGCCGCGUGAGGGAUGACGGCCUUCGGGUUGUAAACCUCUGUUAGCAGGGAAGAAGAGAAAUUGACGGUACCUGCAGAGAAAGCGCCGGCUAACUACGUGCCAGCAGCCGCGGUAAU
rnacentral:rRNA from 1 species